UAACUGUGCCUCUGUGGGUUAUGUUUCUUCUGGCCCAAAGAACUUGCUUCCAAAGCUGAACCGUGAGGCUUUGUAUUUUGGGCCUGUUUUCAUGGGGUGUGUGCCCAACAUGGUGGUAGGUCCAAGAAAUCCACUCUAAAGGACAAGGCAUACACAGAGGAGUGUGGAUAAAAGACGUAUCACUGUCCUGACCGUAGUUUUAAGACUGUUUAAGAGGGUGAAACCCAUCUGUCCCCUUCUUGCCUUGUCUUCUAUCACAUAAUAUCGAGCUGCUGAGGGCCACUAUGACCUGAGCAUUCACUGCAAGACGGGGAGAGGAAAAAGGAGCAAGAUACAGCAUCUCUGAGCUUCAAAAGUAGAGGUGGAGAAGUGGAGAUUUGCCUCCUGCCUUUCCUAGCCCAGCCCUGACCACUCCACUUCAGUCUGGAUCACAGUAGCAGAUGAGACUCGAGUUUGAAGCCUUGUGAAGUGUCCUCACAUACUGAAGUUCCUCAGGGGGCAAGUUGAACAGGAUAGAUGCUAGCUCUGAUGGUGCAUCCAUUAGUGGUGGGAAAUGGGUCUUAUUGUCCUGACCUGCAAAUGUAGGACUGUACCAGGCAUAACCAAAAGGGUUUUUUGUCUUUAUUUGCAGGAGCUCUGUUUUUCCAACUCUGUGUGCUAUUGAUUUGGUGUAUGGAUGCACUAGUGAAAGGGAGCUGACAGCUUUACUUUCUAUACCCUGAUGCUUGCUUCCAAAGGCUCAUCUGAACUUCCCUCAGUAUCCAGAAUGACUUAGCUAAAAUGAUAACAAAGACAGACAUGCAGGCAUCUGCAGUCUGAUACAGCUCUGGCUGUGCCAGCCCAAAACCACAUUGCUGUCUUAGACAUGAAAUGGAUUACGGGCACGUUGUGUGCUUUACAUCUUUUUUUUUCAGGUAAGCUCCAGUUUGUACAAACUGUUCCAUUUUCUGUUAUACAAAAGCGCCCCUAACUUUGCUCAGCUCUGGCUCCGGCAUUUCUCUAUUUUAAUAGAACAUUUGGAACGGCAGAGGGAGUGCAAGAGCAAGGAAAAAGAAGUGAACACACUGAAUGUAAGAAGUUUGGUCCCCCAGAUUCAUGGGAAUUCGAUUGAAGAUUUGAUUGAUUGGGUAUUUCUUGGAAGACCUGACAGAACAAGACUUCAUGCCCAUAUUAUGGAGGAAACUGCACAACUGGAAUGAACUGGGAGCAAAUCCUUGCCAGACAGUCCCAAGCAGAGGCUGAGUUG
rnacentral:lncRNA from 1 species